UACUUGGUAUAGUCUGGGAUUUACAUUCUUCUGAAUAACUCAAUCGCACCGCACCGGAGUUCCUUCAAGCUGCUUAUCAACUUUGUGGUAGUUUUAUGACUAUGGACGGGACGGAGAAUAAGGGUUCGACGGAGAGGGAGCCUACGGCUACC
rnacentral:rRNA from 1 species